AUUAAUUUUGCUUUGGUUGUUUGUUGUUAAUCUUUUAGGCUUUCAUGACUUCCUCUUAUUCAGAUUGUGAGGCCAAGUGAGCUGUGUGGAAAAGAAAUGAAGAAGAAAGAAAGAGGAGAGAGAGGAAGAAGGAAGGGAAAAUCUUCAAUUGUUACAAGGAAAGCAACAAAAAAUAUGAUUCCUUGAAGGACCCAUCUUUCUCUUGACUCUCCCCAUCCUGCUCCAGUAUCAGAGCGAUUGCCAAAUACUAGCUGAAUAGUGUGAGCAUUGGAUUCAAAAGGAGAACAUGCAGUUGGAAGGAAGGAUUUGAACUGACACAGAAGGAUGCUCUGAUAUUCAUCCAAAAUGAUGGUGAGGAUUCUUCCUGCCAGAGAUUGUUUAAACUUUUGAAGCAUGAAGCAAAUCCAGUCAUUAUGGACUGCACUGCACUUAAAAACCG